GCAGCGAUGCCGAGCUGAUCCUCAAAAGCCGUCUCAGUUCGGAUUGUACUCUGCAACUCGAGUGCAUGAAGGUGGAAUCGCUAGUAAUCGCGGAUCAGCAUGCCGCGGUGAAUACGUUCCCGGGCCUUGUACACACCGCCCGUCACACCAUGGGAUUUGGUUUGACCUUAAGUUGGUGCGCUAACCCGCAAGGGAGGCAGCCAACCACGGUCGGGUUAGAGACUGGGGUGAAGUCGUAACAAGGUAGCCGUAA
rnacentral:rRNA from 1 species